CAGUGGGGAAUAUUGCACAAUGGGGGAAACCCUGAUGCAGCCAUGCCGCGUGUGUGAAGAAGGCCUUCGGGUUGUAAAGCACUUUCAGUAGGGAGGAAGGUAGUGUAGUUAACACCUGCACUAUUUGACGUUACCUACAGAAGAAGCACCGGCUAACUCCGUGCCAGCAGCCGCGGUAAUACGGAGGGUGCGAGCGUUAAUCGGAAUUACUGGGCGUAAAGCGCAUGCAGGCGGCCUGUUAAGUCAGAUGUGAAAGCCCGGGGCUUAACCUCGGAAUUGCAUUUGAAACUGGCAGGCUAGAGUCUUGUAGAGGGGGUAGAAUUUCAGGUGUAGCGGUGAAAUGCGUAGAGAUCUGAAGGAAUACCAGUGGCGAAGGCGGCCCCCUGGACAAAGACUGACGCUCAGAUGCGAAAGCGUGGGGAGCAAACAGGAUUAGAUACCCUGGUAG
rnacentral:rRNA from 1 species